GUGAUGGACGAGGAGAGGCAAAUGGGGAUCAUCAUAAUUUUAAGGAUGGUGGUGGUGCUAUGAUGGAUAGUAAGGUGAAUCAUGUGUAUGAGAAUGGAAAUAUUGUGGUGAAUAGGGAGUUUUCAGUUUCGAUGUCCCACAAGAAUGGUGGGUAUUAUUUGGGUGAUAACAAGCAAAAGGUCAAGCAAAUUUGGAGGAAGCACGUUUGGGUCAUUUUGAUAUUGGAUUUGGUUGUUUGUGCUGCUUUGUUUGGGAUUUGGUUGUGGGUUUGUAGGGGAUUUAAAUGCAUUGAUGGUUGAAUUGGGAGAUGAUUUUACAUGCUAAUAAUAAUGUGGGUGUUGUACUUUGAGGAUUCUGCAUCAGAGAUCAAGAACGAAUUUGGGAGAGAAUAGUGUAAAUGGGGUUGCAAGAAAAAUUGUUGUUCAUUCGUUCUGGAGUUCUGUUUGGCUUCCAUUGGUGAUAUUCUUAGCUUCUUUGAUGAACUCUUUGUAUAAUUAAUUUCUGGACAGGUUGUAUAGCCAUGUCAACAUGCAUAUUUUCUUCUAUUGCCAUGAACUGUGAAUACCUAUCAGCAACAUAUAUAAAUUGUACAGGCUUUUGUCUUUUUCCCAUUGUUUGUAGAGGCUGUAUACGAUGUGUUUUUGCCUUAAGCUUCCACAAGCAGAAACUACGCAAUUCAUUGACACGUCAUAAA
rnacentral:misc_RNA from 1 species